UACGUAGGGGGCAAGCGUUGUCCGGAUUUAUUGGGCGUAAAGAGCGUGUAGGCGGCUAGGUAGGUCCGUUGUGAAAACUCGAGGCUCAACCUCGAGACGCCGAUGGAAACCAUCUAGCUAGAGUCCGGAAGAGGAGAGUGGAAUUCCUGGUGUAGCGGUGAAAUUCGUAGAUAUUGGGAAGAACACCGGUGGCGAAGGCGGCCAUCUGGACCGCAACUGACGCUGAGGCGCGAAAGCGUGGGGAGCAAACAGG
rnacentral:rRNA from 1 species